CCUACGGGUGGCUGCAGUGAGGAAUAUUGGUCAAUGGCCGGAAGGCUGAACCAGCCAUGCCGCGUGAAGGGCAGGGCCCUAGGGGCGUUAAACUUCGUGUGUGCGGGAGAAAGAAUGGGCACGUGGGGCCAGACGAGAGUACCGUACGAAGAAGCAGCGGCGAACUCCGUGCCAGCAGCCGCGGUAAGACGGGGGAUGCAAGCGUUAUCCGGAUUUAUUGGGUUUAAAGGGGGCGGAGGCUGUGAGGUAAGUCAGCGGUGAACUGCCCCCGCUCAACGGGGUGAAGUGCCAUUGAUACUGCCUUGCUGGACUGCGGAUGCCGUGGGCGGAAUGUGUGGUGUAGCGG
rnacentral:rRNA from 1 species